UGGAGAGUAGCGUAGAUGGUUCUAAUUUAAUUAAUUAAAUUGCCGAUCGGAGGUUUUUCUAGAUGUUGGAUAACGUGCUUUGCCAAGGGACUCGAGAGCCCCCAGCAUCUUUGGUCAAAACCAUCAUUUAUUUGACCAUCCAUUGUUUUUUUUUUGUUUAAAUCAUAUUUCACAUUCAAGAUUUGAGGAAUGAAUCUUGGAUUGGGCAUAUUCAUAAAAGUUG
rnacentral:lncRNA from 1 species